UACGUAGGGGGCAAGCGUUGUCCGGAAUCAUUGGGCGUAAAGAGCGCGUAGGCGGCCCAGUAAGUCCGCUCUGAAAGUCAGGGGCUCAACCCCUGAAUGCGGGUGGAUACUGCUGGGCUAGAGUCCGGAAGAGGCGAGUGGAAUUCCUGGUGUAGCGGUGAAAUGCGCAGAUAUCAGGAGGAACACCGAUGGCGAAGGCAGCUCGCUGGGACGGUACUGACGCUGAGGCGCGAAAGCGUGGGAGCAAACAGG
rnacentral:rRNA from 1 species